CUACGGGCGGCUGCAGUGAGGAAUAUUGCACAAUGGGGGGAACCCUGAUGCAGCAACGCCGCGUGGAGGAUGACGCAUUUCGGUGUGUAAACUCCUUUUAUAUGUCAAGAAAAUGACGGUAGCAUAUGAAUAAGCGCCGGCUAACUCCGUGCCAGCAGCCGCGGUAAUACGGAGGGCGCAAGCGUUACUCGGAAUCACUGGGCGUAAAGGACGCGUAGGCGGGUUGAAAAGUCAGGUGUGAAAGCCUACAGCUUAACUGUAGAACUGCACUUGAAACUCUCAACCUAGAGUAUGGGAGGGGCAGAUGGAAUUAGUGGUGUAGGGGUAACAUCCGUAGAUAUCACUAGGAAUACCUAAAGCGAAGGCGAUCUGCUGGAACAUUACUGACGCUAAGGCGUGAAAGCGUGGGGAGCAAACAGGAUUAGAUACCCCUGUAGUC
rnacentral:rRNA from 1 species